rnacentral:rRNA from 1 species
UACGGAGGGUGCGAGCGUUGUCCGGAAUCACUGGGCGUAAAGGGCGCGUAGGCGGCUCAAGCAGCGUGUGGUGAAAGCUCGGGGCUCAACCCCGAGUCGGCCGUGCGAACUCUUGAGCUGGAGUGCUGUAGAGGCGGGCGGAAUUCCGGGUGUAGCGGUGGAAUGCGUAGAGAUCCGGAAGAACACCGGUGGCGAAGGCGGCCCGCUGGGCAGUGACUGACGCUGAGGCGCGACAGCGUGGGGAGCAAACAGG